UGUGAUUUAUGAAUAAACAAACAAAAACACUAUUCAAAAGCAGAUAAGAGCUUAUAUCACUGAUCAAGCGUUUCCUUCACUCCCGACAAAACAUAUUUCGCAAAUAAAAAUUUACCAAAUUCCAAAUUCCAAAUUUAUCCACAUAAUUACAGCACACUCCCAAAAUUUGAUUCUAAGCAUCUUCGAAUAAAUUAUUAUGGCGCCCAAGCAGGAAAACAAAAAAAAAGAAAACCAGACUGACAAUAAGAAGAAGGGAAAAGGCGGCAAAGAUAAAAAAAUUAUUAAGAAAAGAUGUGGACCACCGAUGGCCACAGGAACCGUAAUGGCACAGAGAGUUCUACCAUCAAUGGUAUGUUGUCCACCCUCAGGAUGCUCAACGAGGGGGUGUCUCCCAAGUCCAGGUUGCGGAGGCUGUUGAAUUUACGAAAAUGAAUAUAUUUCACAUUUUUGAGCUACACCUGCAGGCAGCCAAAUAAAACUAUAAAUAAACCAAUUCAAAGAUUUCAAUUAUAUUUUGAGAUUUCAUUACUGAAUCGUUACACAUUGAUAAAAUCUUUAAAAGAGAUAAUUACACUGCAGUUUGUCACGCAAGUGAUGAAAUUUCUUCCGGAAGUAGACUGACUGAUUUUUAGUCAAACUGCGCAAAUACGAAGAAAAUAAUUGCUUCAAGCCUCGCGGAGUAUCGAAAAUCAUGUUCAACAUUCUUCCCCUAUAGGAUGUGCAAUUGACAAGUAGAAAGAGAUUCGGUAGAUUUAUACAAUUCUAUGUAUACAAGUAUUCGUUUUGUUUGCUCACCUACGAGAACAGGAUAAUAGGGUGGAGGACUGCAGAGGACAGGAGGGGUUGGCAGUACAUUUCUUGCCUGGUAUUUGAGACAGCCAAAGUUGAGGGUUGUUGUAAUUAUUGGCAUAUAUUUACGUGGGGUUCCAAAUUUCGGAGGGCACUGAAUCCAGGGGGAAUAUUGACGCUGUACAGUGCAAGGGGGGCAUGGCGAGUGCGGGGUGCAAGGCAUGCACGUGGAGC
rnacentral:misc_RNA from 1 species